GAUCCAAACAAUAACUAUUGUAUGCGUUGUUAUCUUAACGAUAGUUACAGUUAUGUUCUUUGGGAAGUUGCCAAAAUGGUCUAAAUAUUUGAUACAGAGAAGCAAAAAUUGCAAGAGAAACCCAACAGAAGAGGGUAAUGACAUUGAAAUGCAGCAGAUGAACGUCCCACCUCAAAACUGAAGCAUUCCCAGAGCAAACUUGCUACUCAAUCUAUGAUGUCGAAACCAAAAUCAUCUUUUUCCUUCCAGGAGUAUUAAACAUUAAGAUUG